rnacentral:rRNA from 1 species
CGGCGGACGGGUGAGUAACGCGUGGGUAACCUACCCUGUACACACGGAUAACAUACCGAAAGGUAUGCUAAUACGGGAUAAUAUAUUUGAGAGGCAUCUCUUGAAUAUCAAAGGUGAGCCAGUACAGGAUGGACCCGCGUCUGAUUAGCUGGUUGGUAAGGUAACGGCUUACCAAGGCGACGAUCAGUAGCCGACCUGAGAGGGUGAUCGGCCACAUUGGAACUGAGACACGGUCCAA